rnacentral:rRNA from 1 species
AUUGAACGCUGGCGGCAGGCCUAACACAUGCAAGUCGCACGAGUGGCGGACGGGUGAGUCAUGUCUGGGACACUGCCUGAUGGAGGGGGCUCACUACUGGAAACGGUAGCUAAUACCGCAUACCAUCGGAUGUGCCCAGAUGGGAUUAGCUAGUAGGUGGGGUAAAGGCUCACCUGGUGGACGAUCCCGAGCUGGUCUGAGAGGAUGACCAGCCACACUGGAACGGAGACACGGUCCAGACUCCGACGGGAGGGAGCAGUGGGGAAGAUUGCACAAUGGGCGCAAGCCUGAUGCAGCAAUGCCGCGUGUAUGAAGAAGGCCUUCGGGUUGUAAAGUACUUUCAGCGGGGAGGCGUUACCCGCAGAAGAAGCACCGGCUAACUCCGUGCCAGCAGCCGCGGUAAUUC